GAUGAACGCUGGCGGCGUGCUUAACACAUGCAAGUCGAACGGAAAGGCCCAAGCUUGCUUGGGUGCUCGAGUGGCGAACGGGUGAGUAACACGUGGGUGAUCUGCCCUGCACUUUGGGAUAAGCCUGGGAAACUGGGUCUAAUACCGGAUAGGACCAUCGUUUAGUGUCGGUGGUGGAAAGUUUUUCGGUGUGGGAUGAGCUCGCGGCCUAUCAGCUUGUUGGUGGGGUAAUGGCCUACCAAGGCGUCGACGGGUAGCCGGCCUGAGAGGGUGUACGGCCACUUUGGGACGGAGAGAGGGCCCAGACCCCUACGGGGGGAGGAGGGGGGGAUGUUUGAAAAAGGGGCGAAGGCCGGAGGCGGCGCCGCCGGGGGGGGGAGGGGGGCCUUGGGGUUGAAACCUCUUUUCGCAAAGGAGGAGGCGUUUUGGGAGGGUGGUGGGAAAAGAACCCCCGCCAAACUACGUG
rnacentral:rRNA from 1 species